rnacentral:rRNA from 1 species
AGCGAACGCUGGCGGCAGGCUUAACACAUGCAAGUCGAACGGGCGUAGCAAUACGUCAGUGGCAGACGGGUGAGUAACGCGUGGGAACGUACCUUUUGGUUCGGAACAACACAGGGAAACUUGUGCUAAUACCGGAUAAGCCCUUACGGGGAAAGAUUUAUCGCCGAAAGGUCGGCCCGCGUCUGAUUAGCUAGUUGGUGAGGUAAUGGCUCACCAAGGCGACGAUCAGUAGCUGGUCUGAGAGGAUGAUCAGCCACAUUGGGACUGAGACACGGCCCAAACUCCUACGGGAGGCAGCAGUGGGGAAUAUUGGACAAUGGGGGCAACCCUGAUCCAGCCAUGCCGCGUGAGUGAUGAAGGCCCUAGGGUUGUAAAGCUCUUUUGUGCGGGAAGAUAAUGACGGUACCGCAAGAAUAAGCCCCGGCUAACUUCGUGCCAGCAGCCGCGGUAAUACGAAGGGGGCUAGCGUUGCUCGGAAUCACUGGGCGUAAAGGGUGCGUAGGCGGGUUUCUAAGUCGGAGGUGAAAGCCUGGAGCUCAACUCCAGAACUGCCUUUGAUACUGGAAGUCUUGAGUUCGGGAGAGGUGAGUGGAACUGCGGGUGUAGAGGUGAAAUUCGUAGAUAUUCGCAAGAACACCAGUGGCGAAGGCGGCUCACUGGCCCGAUACUGACGCUGAGGCACGAAAGCGUGGGGAGCAAACAGGAUUAGAUACCCUGGUAGUCCACGCCGUAAAC